UACGGGGGGGGCAAGCGUUGUUCGGAAUUACUGGGCGUAAAGGGCUCGUAGGUGGCCAACUAAGUCGGACGUGAAAUCCCUCGGCUUAACCGGGGAAUGGCAUCCGAUACUGGAUGUCUUGAGUUUGGGAGAGGGACGCGGAAUUCCAGGUGUAGCGGUGAAAUGCGUAGAUAUCUGGAGGAACACCGGUGGCGAAGGCGGCGUCCUGGACCAAUACUGACACUGAGGAGCGAAAGCCAGGGGAGCAAACGGG
rnacentral:rRNA from 1 species